rnacentral:rRNA from 1 species
AUUGAACGCUGGCGGCAUGCCUUACACAUGCAAGUCGAACGGUAACAGGUCUUCGGAUGCUGACGAGUGGCGAACGGGUGAGUAAUACAUCGGAACGUGCCUAGUAGUGGGGGAUAACUACUCGAAAGAGUGGCUAAUACCGCAUGAGAUCUACGGAUGAAAGCAGGGGAUCGCAAGACCUUGUGCUACUAGAGCGGCCGAUGGCAGAUUAGGUAGUUGGUGGGAUAAAAGCUUACCAAGCCGACGAUCUGUAGCUGGUCUGAGAGGACGAUCAGCAACACUGGGACUGAGACAAGGCCCAGACUCCGACGGGAGGCAGCAGUGGGGAAUUUUGGACAAUGGGCUAAAGCUUGAUCCAGCAAUGCCGCGUGCAGGAUGAAGGCCUUCGGGUUGUAAACUGCUUUUGUACGGAACGAAAAGCCCCGGGUUAAUACCCUGGGGUCAUGACGGUACCGUAAGAAUAAGCACCGGCUAACUACGUGCCAGCCGCUGAGGUAA